UGUUGAGAUACUCGAUUGCGUAUACGACUACCUACGAAUAGAACGCUGCAAGAAAUCGUAUUUAGAUGUAUGUAGAAAUACAUCCAGCAUUGGCUAUACAACUUGUAUCCAAAUAUUUGGAAAGGAGAAAGUUCUAAUUAUUUUUUGGUUUAUCUUGUCAAAUAUCAAAUGUGUCACAUGUGCAAGUAAAAAAUUGUAAAGUAAAAUAAUAAAACACAAGAUGAAGAUA